UCUUCCGCAAUGGGCGAAAGCCUGACGGAGCGACGCCGCGUGGGGGACGAAGGCCUUCGGGUCGUAAACCCCUGUCAGAGGGAAAGAUGGGUGCCGGCGUGAACAGCGCCGGCAUUUGACGGUACCCUCAGAGGAAGCCACGGCCAACUCCGUGCCAGCAGCCGCGGUAAUACGGAGGUGGCAAGCGUUGCUCGGAAUCACUGGGCGUAAAGGGCGCGUAGGCGGGGAGGUAAGGCGGGGGUGAAAUCCCUCGGCUCAACCGAGGACCUGCGCCCGAGACUGCUUCUCUUGAGUCCCGGAGAGGAAGGUGGAAUUCCCGGUGUAGCGGUGAAAUGUGUAGAGAUCGGGAGGAACACCGGUGGCGAAGGCGGCCUUCUGGACGGUGACUGACGCUGAGGCGCGAAAGCGUGGGGAGCAAAC
rnacentral:rRNA from 1 species